rnacentral:rRNA from 1 species
ACCAGGGGAACUGAAACAUCUAAGUACCCUGAGGAAAAGAAAUCAACCGAGAUUCCCCUAGUAGCGGCGAGCGAACGGGGACCAGCCCUUAAGCAUGAGACUGAUUAGGCGAACA